rnacentral:rRNA from 1 species
GGGGGCAUCCGGACUGAUUCGGGCUCCGGUCCGAUCCUCCCACCCUUUGUGUACCUACCUCUGUUGCUUUGGCGGGCCGCGGUCCUCCGCGGCCGCCCCCCUCCCCGGGGGGGUGGCCAGCGCCCGCCAGAGGACCAUCAAACUCCAGUCAGUAAACGAUGCAGUCUGAAAAACAUUUAAUAAACUAAAACUUUCAACAACGGAUCUCUUGGUUCUGGCAUCGAUGAAGAACGCAGCGAAAUGCGAUAAGUAAUGUGAAUUGCAGAAUUCAGUGAAUCAUCGAAUCUUUGAACGCACAUUGCGCCCUUUGGUAUUCCGAAGGGCAUGCCUGUUCGAGCGUCAUUACAACCCUCAAGCUCUGCUUGGUAUUGGGCACCGUCCUUUGCGGGCGCGCCUCAAAGACCUCGGCGGUGGCGUCUUGCCUCAAGCGUAGUAGAACAUACAUCUCGCUUCGGAGCGCAGGGCGUCGCCCGCCGGACGAACCUUCUGAACUUUUCUCAAGGUUGACCUCGGAUCAGGUAGGGAUACCCGCUGAACUUAAGCAUAUCAAUAAGCGGAGGAA